AUGAAAGUCCUUGAUCGAGAGGAUUCAAUCAAGAAAGAGCUGCCAGAAGCAGUUGCAUCAUAUGAACUUGACUGCUUGAGAGGUGCUUGCUUGCUUGCAGGGCCUGAAGAUGCUCUGGAUCCCCAUGGGCUCGUGCUUGGCGCCACCCAGCCGCCGCAUCCGAUGCUUGAGGCUGAGGCAUGCAGGUGUCAGUCACUCACCCAGUCAGGUCAAAUUGGGGGCCAGGAAAGGAGCGGCGCCCAGUCCAAACACCUGAAAGGGCGUACGAAAAGAAGAGCAAUUUACUGGGCACUGAGGGUAAAGUAA
rnacentral:rRNA from 1 species